AAGCUCGCUCCUUCUCCCGCGCGGAGGGGUUCAGUGCUACUACAGAGGGACUCAGUGGCGGUAGGAACGACAGACUCAGACUCACUCAGACUCCGACCCAGGCAACAUGAGCGCUGAUCUCCCCGAUAUCGAGGACAUGAAGGAGGUGUUCGAUUUGUUCGACUUCUGGGACGGGCGGGACGGACUGAUAGACGCUGUCAAGGUGGGAGACCUCCUCCGGUGCUGCGGACUCAACCCAACGAACGCGCUCAUCUACAAGAAUGGGGGAACCAAAAAAUCCGGUAAUAUCCACGGACGGCGGUACACGGGGGUUGUUGGGCAAAGGACACAUUCUUGUCUCUGAUACAAUGGUCAAUCCCGUAUAUGCUCACGUGUUGCCAGUGUAUUUUCUAAUCGACAUCUACUGUACUACGUGAUUCAACUUUACCAUGCGUUUAAACAUUAAACUGCUGCCUUAUUUUUUAUCUUAAACAUAUUUUCACGUUUUAUAUGUUCGCGACUAUUUCUAUCUGAGUUUUUCAUAGGUUCAUUCAUAUUUUAGCAAUAAAAACGAGCAUUAAAGUAGUCAUAAUUCAUAUGUUUAUUGUUAAGAUUAAAACAUGUCAGAAGGACAUGUCUACUCCAUACUAUUUGAUCCGUACCCCUACACAGCUUACUUUUCACGCAGUGCAAGUUUGAUCCGCUCCUGCACUAGUCUCGCUAUAAUUUUCAGGUGAGAAACAGUACAACAUGGAGGAGUUCCUGUCCAUCGUCCGACAGGUGGUGAAGGAGCGAGACACGGGCUCCUACAAGGAGUUCAUGGAGGCAUUCAAAUCUUUCGACCGGGAGGGACAGGGCUACAUCUCCCUGGGAGAGGCAAGGCACGUGCUGACAGCCAUGGGUGACCGCCUGACAGACGAGGAGUUGGAGGACAUUCUACAGAGCAUCGACUUGGACGUGGACUACGAAGGCAACAUCAAAUAUGAGGACUUUAUCAAGAAAGUGAUGAAGGGGCCACCGGAGGGGAAACCUGAGUUCACAUAUUGAAGAGAAACGGUCUUGGGGUAAAGAGUCGAACUGCGCCACUACAUUCACCAACAAAGCACGUGCAUUCUGUAGUAUGACGGCGGAUUUUGUGUGUAUUACACCAGUACAUUGUUCUACAGUCCGUGUUUCCACGUAUUGCCGCCAUUAUUUCAAUCAUGUAUCUCUGUAUCAUUCUAAUUUUACCGGUAUAUGUAAAGGAUUAUCAUAGGACUAUGUGACAAAUGUAUUUGUAUUUUUGUAUAUGCUGUAUGUUGUACUUUGUUUCAUAUAUUUGUUUAAUAUAAAUUCAUACACACGUGA
rnacentral:misc_RNA from 1 species